rnacentral:lncRNA from 1 species
CGUGACCGCGAUUUUGGUUCCAAGAUUUUGACCGCCUGCGUCAGACCUGUCGUCAAAAGUUCGUCUCUUCUGUUCUGUAGAUAAACUAGUAGCGCAUGAGACUAUAUGGGGAUGCGGCGAUACUUUUACAUGUUACUAAAUGCUUGACUGCUGCUACUACUUAGAGUAUAUAUUACUACAAUCUCAGGUGCACAUCGGUGCCCGAUCUUUCUUCUAAUUGGCAUCUUUGAGCUUCUUCUGCUGUGAUUUCCCUGCAUUAGAAUCUGGUGGCUCUGAAUAAUUAGCUAGCGUCAGAAGAUGCAAUAAGCAUGAGCACCUGAUAAAUAAUGUGUUUGAGCAUGAGCAUCUUUACCGUGCAGCAUUGACUAGAUCUAUAUGUGAUUUCAUCAACGAGAGAGCUGGGCAAGCUCUUCUUGCUGUACAGGCCUGCAAGUAUGUGAUUUUGUCAUUUCAAAUGCAUGAACAAUAUGUCAAAAGUAAGAUGUGCUCAUGGAUGCUCUGUAGGAUGUGCUUUUCCCACUCAAAAUGAAGCUUGUCUACCUAGUUAUCAGCCUGUUUUUUUUUUUUUUUGUUAUGGUAAAACUUUGUUCAUCUGAUGAGGUAAAAAAACUAUAAAGAAUCUGUGAGGCUAGAUAGUGUGAAUGACUAAUGUUGCUGAUUGUGCAUAACCAUGCUUCAGUCAAAGUGAAUGGUCAAAAACAUGUUUACAAAGUACAUGACCAUGUAGCAGUCAAUUUUCUGAUCUUGCUGCAAAACUCUGAUUCAAUAAUUUAACCCAACAUCUUGUCUACUGGAAAAUAUCCAUAUAGGCAUGGCUGAAUUUAUUUUCUGUUGUUUAAAAUGCAUGAAGAAAUGUAAACAGUUCAUAGAAGUAGUUCUGAGGAGCAUGAAAAAAUCAUGUGAUGGGUCUGGAUUGGCACUCUAGUGAUUGUCCAGUAUGUGCUAAGUUAGCGCGAGUAUUCCCACUUGCAGUGCUUGAAGUGAAAAUGAAUAAGAACUAUAUGCACAAUGGAUACCGUGUUUCAGUAAAAGUGUGAAUGACAAUAAAGAAUCUGUGAGGCUAGAUAGUGUGAAUGACUAAUGUUGCUGAUUGUGCAUAACCAUGUUUCAGUCAAAGUGAAUGGUCAAAAACAUGUUUACAAAGUGCAUGACCAUGUAGUAGUCAAUUUUCUGAUCUUGCUGCAAAACUCUGAUUCAAUAAUUUGACCCAACUUAUCUUGUCUACUGGAAAAUAUCCAUAUAGGCAUGGCUGAAUUUAUUUUCUGUUGUUUGAAAUGCAUGAAAUAAUGCCAACAGUUCAUAGAAGUAGUUCUGAGGAGCAUGAAAAAAACAUGUGAUAGGUCUGGAUUGGCACUAGUGAUUGUCCAGUAUGUGCUGAGUUAGCGCGAGUAUUCCCACUUGCAGUGCUUGAAGUGAAAAUUAAGAAGAAUUAUAUGCACAAUGGAUACCGUGUAGGUUGGGAUACUUACUAUUGAGGUAGCUAACACCCCAACAGUCAAGGGACCUAUUUACCCACCAGAAGUCUGUUCCAUUGGUUUAUGUACGCAAAC